CAUUAUUUUCAUCUUCUCAAAAAAAUUUUAGGGUUUCUCUAAGCUGCCAGACAUCGGUGUCGAAGCUCCGGUGACUUUGACGAUGGACGACCAGUGCCAAAACAUGCGCCAAGCCUCCGCGAACCUAACCAAAUAAAAAUCCCCAUAAAACAAUGCCUCAAACACCGGACAUUUGCAUUUGAACGCAGUGCCACCGUUUGAGAUUUUCGGCAGUGGCGGCGCCAUCGUAGCUCACCGUCAAACGGGGAAAACUCAACACUAAAUGGGGAGACUCCUUUGGGCAAUCAAACCCCAGCAAGAAGAUCCAAAAAAUACGGCAUCAAUCGACGUCAAUUUGAGAUCAAAAUUUUCACCGGCGGCGGCGAUUUUUGGCCUGCGACGACAGAUCUUGCAAAGCCAGGGGUUCAAGUCUCCGAGUUCAUUUCAAGAAUACACGUGAUGAUAUUCCGCCUACUAAAUUGUUCAGUUUGAUAGAUCACUAUUUUUAUGUGGUUCUCAUACGCUUCCAUGAGAAGGUUACUAUUUUUCACUGGAGCUUCAAGGUCAAAGAAAAUGCCAACCAACUAUUUGGAUCUUAGCAACUUGUUGCCUCGUCAAGUACAGUACCUGGUGAAAAUUCUGAUGAAUUUGAAAAGGAUGACCAUUCAAUUUUAAAGCAUACUAAAGACAAGUAUGGGUGGAAAGCAAUAGAAAAGAAGUGACUGAAUAUAUAAUGUAGUUUUUAGAGUUUGUUUAUUGUUAUGUAAUGGCACAAUGAAACUUUAUAUUUGAUUUUUUUAAUGUCAAUUGGACUUGAAAGUUGUUGUAUUUGGGA